AAAUUGAAGAGUUUGAUCAUGGCUCAGAUUGAACGCUGGCGGCAGGCCUAACACAUGCAAGUCGAACGGUAACAGGAAGCAGCUUGCUGCUUUGCUGACGAGUGGCGGACGGGUGAGUAAUGUCUGGGAAACUGCCUGAUGGAGGGGGAUAACUACUGGAAACGGUGGCUAAUACCGCAUAAUGUCGCAAGACCAAAGAGGGGGACCUUCGGGCCUCUUGCCAUCAGAUGUGCCCAGAUGGGAUUAGCUUGUUGGUGAGGUAACGGCUCACCAAGGCGACGAUCCCUAGCUGGUCUGAGAGGAUGACCAGCCACACUGGAACUGAGACACGGUCCAGACUCCUACGGGAGGCAGCAGUGGGGAAUAUUGCACAAUGGGCGCAAGCCUGAUGCAGCCAUGCCGCGUGUAUGAAGAAGGCCUUCGGGUUGUAAAGUACUUUCAGCGGGGAGGAAGGUGUUGUGGUUAAUAACCGCAGCAAUUGACGUUACCCGCAGAAGAAGCACCGGCUAACUCCGUGCCAGCAGCCGCGGUAAUACGGAGGGUGCAAGCGUUAAUCGGAAUUACUGGGCGUAAAGCGCACGCAGGCGGUCUGUCAAGUCGGAUGUGAAAUCCCCGGGCUCAACCUGGGAACUGCAUUCGAAACUGGCAGGCUUGAGUCUUGUAGAGGGGGGUAGAAUUCCAGGUGUAGCGGUGAAAUGCGUAGAGAUCUGGAGGAAUACCGGUGGCGAAGGCGGCCCCCUGGACAAAGACUGACGCUCAGGUGCGAAAGCGUGGGGAGCAAACAGGAUUAGAUACCCUGGUAGUCCACGCCGUAAACGAUGUCUACUUGGAGGUUGUGCCCUUGAGGCGUGGCUUCCGGAGCUAACGCGUUAAGUAGACCGCCUGGGGAGUACGGCCGCAAGGUUAAAACUCAAAUGAAUUGACGGGGGCCCGCACAAGCGGUGGAGCAUGUGGUUUAAUUCGAUGCAACGCGAAGAACCUUACCUGGUCUUGACAUCCACAGAACUUUCCAGAGAUGGAUUGGUGCCUUCGGGAACUGUGAGACAGGUGCUGCAUGGCUGUCGUCAGCUCGUGUUGUGAAAUGUUGGGUUAAGUCCCGCAACGAGCGCAACCCUUAUCCUUUGUUGCCAGCGGUCCGGCCGGGAACUCAAAGGAGACUGCCAGUGAUAAACUGGAGGAAGGUGGGGAUGACGUCAAGUCAUCAUGGCCCUUACGACCAGGGCUACACACGUGCUACAAUGGCGCAUACAAAGAGAAGCGACCUCGCGAGAGCAAGCGGACCUCAUAAAGUGCGUCGUAGUCCGGAUUGGAGUCUGCAACUCGACUCCAUGAAGUCGGAAUCGCUAGUAAUCGUGGAUCAGAAUGCCACGGUGAAUACGUUCCCGGGCCUUGUACACACCGCCCGUCACACCAUGGGAGUGGGUUGCAAAAGAAGUAGGUAGCUUAACCUUCGGGAGGGCGCUUACCACUUUGUGAUUCAUGACUGGGGUGAAGUCGUAACAAGGUAACCGUAGGGGAACCUGCGGUUGGAUCACCUCCUUACCUUAAAGAAGC
rnacentral:rRNA from 2 species